rnacentral:rRNA from 1 species
UACGAAGGGUGCUAGCGUUGUUCGGAAUCACUGGGCGUAAAGCGCGCGUAGGCGGUUAUUCAAGUCAGGGGUGAAAUCCUGAGGCUCAACCUCAGAAUUGCCUUUGAAACUGUGUGACUGGAGUGUCGGAGGGGAUAGCGGAAUUGCUAAUGUAGCGGUGAAAUGCGUAGAUAUUAGCAGGAACACCGGUGGCGAAGGCGGCUAUCUGGACGACAACUGACGCUGAGGCGCGAAAGCGCGGGGAUCAAACAGG